rnacentral:tRNA from 1 species
AUCUCCGUAGGUGACGGAGUAGUCGCCGAUCCGUUCGGCGCGGAUGUCCACGGCCGCGAGGCCCGCGCCGUCCGGGUCGGCCCGGUAGUC